UCGUAGGUCAGCAUACUACGGUGAAUACGUUCCCGGGCCUUGUACACACCGCCCGUCAAACCAUGAGAGUUGGCAACACCCGAAGUCGGUAGUCUAACCGCAAGGAGGACGCCGCCGAAGGUGGGGUUGAUGAUUAGGGUUAAGUCGUAACAAGGUAUC
rnacentral:rRNA from 1 species